rnacentral:rRNA from 1 species
GACGAACGCUGGCGGCGUGCUUAACACAUGCAAGUCGAACGAUGAAGCUGGAGCUUGCUCUAGCGGAUUAGUGGCGAACGGGUGAGUAACACGUGAGCAAUCUGCCCUUGACUCUGGGAUAACUGCGGGAAACUGUAGCUAAUACCGGAUACUUUCACCGGGGGGCAUCCUCUGGUGAUGAAAGAAUUUCGGUCAAGGAUGAGCUCGCGGCCUAUCAGCUUGUUGGUGAGGUAACGGCUCACCAAGGCGACGACGGGUAACCGGCCUGAGAGGGUGACCGGUCACACUGGGACUGAGACACGGCCCAGACUCCUACGGGAGGCAGCAGUGGGGAAUAUUGCACAAUGGGCGCAAGCCUGAUGUAGCAACGCCGCGUGAGGGAUGAAGGCCUUCGGGUUGUAAACCUCUUUUAGCAGGGAAGAAGCGAAAGUGACGGUACCUGCUGAAAAAGCACCGGCUAACUACGUGCCAGCAGCCGCAGUAA